UGGGGGGGAGUGUUGGGGUUUUUUAGGAUAGGGAAACUUAUCACCAGUAACUCCCCAGAUUUCUCUUUGCCAGCACAGAGCAUGAAGAGAAUCAAACGCUAAAAUGUGACUUUUGCUUGUGAAAAGCAAAAUCAAAAUGUGUGGUUGAUAGAGGGGCCGAGCACAAUGAUCCCUCCCUUUGCUUCCUGCAGUUUGCAUAAACCCUGAGGGUCAAAAAGGAACUUGGAACUGGACAUGGUUGUGGACGAGGACACGGAAAACCAAACCACUCUUGCUUUGCCUUUGCUUUUGGGAAUUCCAGCCUGGAUUGCCGGGACUCUCCCGUGCUGCUGUUGGGUUGCUCUCCCUGGCUGGGCAGGGACUGUGCUGGGCACAGCCUGGGCUCUCCCUGGAAUGUCUGGAGCCAGGAGCUGUGUGGGAGCAGCCAUGGGCACCCCGGGCAUGUGCUCCCUGCUCUCCAGCAGAGCUCAGGGCUUCUCCUGCUGCUGCUGCAGGGUUUGGGGCACAGGGGCUGGUUCCUGGUACUGCUCUCAGUUCCUUCUCUUCUCACCCAUCAGCUCAGCGCAAAAACUUGAUUGACCUCAGAUUUAUUUUCAUUCAGUUUAAUUUAAUUUAAUUCAGUUGGAGAUUUGCUUAAAACCUUUUCCUUCUCUUGAUGCUUUAUGCAACUUUGAAGAUGAAGUGAAACUUCAUAACUUUCUAAAGGGGAAUCUUUGUCAUUUGAAAAAAUCAUGUGCUCUGGGAAUGACUGGAAUCACUUUAACUAAAUACACUUUUCCUUUCCUUGCAUGUA